rnacentral:rRNA from 1 species
GACGAACGCUGGCGGCGUGCUUAACACAUGCAAGUCGAACGGAAAGGCCUCAGCUUGCUGGGGUACUCGAGUGGCGAACGGGUGAGUAACACGUGGGUGAUCUGCCUUGCACUCUGGGAUAAGCUUGGGAAACUGGGUCUAAUACCGGAUAUGAACUGCCUUUAGUGUGGUGGUUGGAAAGUUUUUUCGGUGCAAGAUGAGCUCGCGGCCUAUCAGCUUGUUGGUGGGGUAAUGGCCUACCAAGGCGUCGACGGGUAGCCGGCCUGAGAGGGUGUACGGCCACAUUGGGACUGAGAUACGGCCCAGACUCCUACGGGAGGCAGCAGUGGGGAAUAUUGCACAAUGGGCGGAAGCCUGAUGCAGCGACGCCGCGUGGGGGAUGACGGCCUUCGGGUUGUAAACUCCUUUCGACAGGGACGAAGCUUUUUGUGACGGUACCUGUAGAAGAAGCACCGGCUAACUACGUG